rnacentral:rRNA from 1 species
UACGGAGGGUGCGAGCGUUAUCCGGAAUUACUGGGUUUAAAGGGUGCGUAGGCGGCCAUGUAAGUCAGGAGUGAAAGUUUGCGGCUCAACCGUAAAAUUGCUUUUGAUACUGCAUGGCUGGAAUCAGGAUGAGGUCAGCGGAAUGUGGCAUGCAGCGGUGAAAUGCAUAGAUAUGCCAUAGAACACCAAUUGCGAAGGCAGCUGGCUAGACCUGUAUUGACGCUGAGGCACGAAAGCGUGGGGAUCAAACAGG